CAAUCUUUGGUUUGCCCUACUUUUCUAAUUGUGCAUACAUUUAAUUGAUGUGAUCAAGUUUUGUUUUCUUCUCAUAGUGCAGGAGAAACCCAAAACAAAUCAAGGCCUUCUAGAUUGGGCGUCCUUGUUCUUCAUAUGAUUGACGGGGUUUUAAACUUCUAUUUAUGACAAGCACAUACUCUCGCUUGAGAUAAGGAUUCUAGUUUUUGGAAUGAUGUUGAUUUCUGAAGUUCCAGUAAUACAAAUCACCAUGGGGAUUGGAGAGAUGAGUUUUGUUACACCUUUGCUUUCUGUUUUUUCUUUUUCAAACAUUUACAUCUUUGCUUUGAUUCUCUUGUUGAAGCACAAUUAUAGAUUGAUAAGUCCAUAUAAAUAUCAUUAUAAAAUAACUUGGUAGAUCCUCAGAGUGCAUAUAAAUUACAGUAAGUGAAUGAAAAUGGGAGGUCUGGAAUUUUGUUUACAGUAAGUGACACACUAUUUUUUUUCAUGACCAUGCUAAUUAAAUCUAAUUGUAUAUGUGCAGGGUUUCAAUCGAGAUUACAUACCAGACCUUACAUCCCCAUAUGAGUAUUUUUAAUAGUAACAUUUGUAUAUGACAUUAGAAUAUUUUUUGUAUAAACAGUUAGAUCAUAUAUGAUGUCUACCUAC